UUUCAAGCCCGACUCACCGGAUGUCCCAGCCUGUGGAGUGUGUACUUCUCUUCAACGGUCCUUUGGUUGAGGAUGAUGUAAACCGGGACACCUCUGGAGGCUGCGUUGUGUAAAUCCCUAAUGAUAGUGCUGUCUGUCAGCCGAUGCCGUCGGAUGACCUCUCUGAUGGCAGGUUCUCCCUCAGCGGGGGGAUUUGUGUACACUGUGACGUUUUCCAUGCGCACCCAAGGCGCCUCGGGCCAACCCAGCUCCAAACGCGGAGCGGGCACAUCCGAGUGGGACGGGAAGUAGGACGAGGUGAGGUCAGCUGCAUCCGGAUUGACUUUCCCUCCAGUCUCUUCUCUUUGCAGGGGAGUAUAAUGAAAGUCCUGAACCGAGCUGGUUAUCUCGCCCACCUCAUCGGGAGAGAGGAAGGAGCCAAAGAACUCUGCGCCGACGGUGUUGUAAAAGGCUUUGGGACCUUCAUCCAGGAGCUUCUCCAUAGAAUGGCGCUCAAGUUCCGAGUAGAGGAACUCCGGGGAAGACGGGGUUACCGGCAGGAACACCUCAUUCUCAUCCAGACUGGCUUGCUGGGAGCCCGGCAUGGCUGCGACCUCUAUGAGGAUAUGUUAAGUCUCUCAACUACUGACCUCGUCUCACGUCAGCCAUCAGUCCAAUGAGAUCCGGAGGACCAAAUGCUUGACGGCAAAGACAUCCAAUGACGAUUACAGAGAGGAAGUCCCUUGAGUUAUGUUGGUCUGGAGCUUCAUAUUGACCCUAAACACAAAGUCAGAGAAGAUUCAUGCGGUCGGCGCAUGUUUUCUGUUGUAGUGUUGUUGUCAAUCUUACCUCCGGUGGAGCUUGUGUGACUGUGCUUCUCGCUUGACUCGUCCCCACCCUUGCCUGUCAUCUCAGUCAGCCUUCCACUCCUUGUGGGCGACAUUGUAAUCGGAUUCCGCAAAUUCUGUGCCCCACUAGCGCUGACAGACUUCGUCGCCGUUCGCGCUCAAUUACAACGUCGUCUCACUUUCACGCAUUAACUCUUUGGUGCGUCCACUUUUUCUAUCAUCUGCAUGAUGCGUUUGUCUGAGAAGCAAAUAUUGUCACACAGCCUUUCUUUAAGACAUGUGAUUUGUUUUGGACUGGUUCAGCCAGAUUGGCAGCUUUACCAAUCCAAAGUCUGUACACACUUGUGUUUUUGCAGAGCUUAUUUCGUGUGCAUUUCCUUUCAUGCACAUUUCUGAAUUCCUACUGCUAUGCCAGAGAAAACAUUGCUGACAGAAUGCCUUUCGCAACCUGUUGAAAGUGUCCAUACAGAAUGCCACUGAUCAACAAGAGGGGGACACAAAGCCACGCUAGGAUGAAGCAAUAACCGAAAUGACCUUUACCCAGAUUGCUGGAGUCAUUAAGGAUCUCCUUCCUGUGAAAGGUGAAGAUGAGGCAAGCUGCAAAGUCGGUGAAGCCUGCAAAAGUUACAGGCUUGACAGAGUCCUGUCAAGUAGAAGAGCCCUCCUUUGGACAUGGUGAAGAGCUGAGCUGCAAACACCAGCAGAGCGAUGGACGAGAAGACCACGGACAGCACCAUGAGGGCCUGCACCGACUGCAACCAGUCUGGAACAAGCAAAGAUCCAACAGUUUUGAAACAUCAGACGAUAUUAUGGAAUCGUGCAGAAAUGCAAAUGAUCAUUUACCGCUCUCAUUGGUGGCGGCACACAGCCACGUAUCUGUGGCAUUGUCGUGGAAACAGUUGUACCACAGGUCGCUGAUUUCUGAAUUGUUCCAGACCCACCAGGACUACACAAACACACACACUCAAAGUAAGCAAAGUCUAUUUGUAGAGCACAAUUCAACACAGCUCACAGAGUAAAGACAAUGACCUCAAUUGUGAUGUCAUUUAACCGAAGGAAGUUUUUGCCUUACAGAUUUUAAUUAUUUCCUGUCUAAAAGAGGCUGCAUGGAAUUUCUGGGUUUAAGUCAGAUGUACGGUUGAGAGCCAUCUGCAUAGAAUAUAAUACAUAAUAAUAAUUGGAAUUGCAGCUUGAUACAUUACAUAUCAAGGUUAGUUGUAGCAGGUGGAACAGCGCCAUCCCGUGGACAGAAAGUGCCACUCACCUUCUGCAGGGUAGCCACAAGGAGCAUGGACAGGGUGACAAGAUGCAGUACGGUCAAGGAUAUGAGGAGGAACACCAUGGCUGAGGCCGCUAUAAUAAAAACAAGAAAAUAUAUUAUUGGGCAGUGCCUUGAGGAAGUGUUGCAAGCUGGCCCGGUUAUGAAUCAGAGUCCAGCUUCCUCAUAAAAUGUCUCCAAGAUGAGGGGCAGACUCCCGAAAAGAGCCUCAUUUCAUGACUCCCUCCCUUAAACAUCUUUUAUCUAUUAGCAAGAUCACAAACACACUUUCCCCUUUUCUCUCAUUUUGCAUUUUUGUCUCCAUGACAUCACAACCCACAUACUCAUAACUUUUUUUUCACUUGAGCAUCAGUAGCAAGAUCGUGUCUUAUUUGCCUCCCCACCACCCCACCACGAACCCCAAUUUAACCAUUCAAAAAGUCCCUUUAUUCCAAACAGGAACUGGAAUUGAGACAAUAUCUGUUUUGCUCUGUUUCGCUUUAGAGCGCGACCAAAGAUUUGGGUAUUAGAUUACAGAUAAAGCUGAGAUUUUCCAUUGAACUUCAUAAUUAUUAAAUGAAGUAGGUUACAAUGUGAGAAACGUAUACUUGGUCAAAGUCCAACACUUAAAAUAUAUAAUAUAUAUAGUAAUAUCUGUAAUUAGACACGAAUAUGAGCUUACUGACAGGGUGGAUAUUUUUGCUAAUAUUGAUGUUUUAUGAGCACUUGGUGGACCUUCAGCAAGUAGUAUGAUUCACUUAACAGUUUGACUGUUUAACCAAUAUAUUUUCAAUCUGAAAUGCUAAAUAGAGGAGCCCCACUAUCCAUUUGAUGAUAGGAACUGGGCCAGGCUGCAAAUGGCAAGAAUGAUUGACGUAUGCACUGAAAAGAGAGAAAAAUAAAUAAUUAAAAGAACUAAAUUUAGGUGAAAACAACAAAAAAAAACACCGAUAUGACAUAAUGACAGGAUGGAGAGCAAUUUUAAGAACAAUAUUUAUCAUUGUACUGCUAUGGGAGCAAAUGUUUUGCCACUAUUAAUGAGAUUGCCAAGUUUCAUUAUUAUGCAACAUUUUCAUGAUGAUUUUGAUGAGAACACCAAAGGCAUUCAUAGUGCUACUAUCGCCUAUGUUUUUUUUUUUUUUCCUUUUUCUAUUUCAAUGAAUGGACUGAGACAGUCUGGGGCAAAAUUGUUCCCAGCGGUCCUCUCUGAUGACAUCAUUGGUAGUGGCUUACGUUUGCUCACAUUUGACUGUUCGUAUGUUCAGUGCAUUAAGUUCAUGCAAGAUACUGCAAGUCCUUCUGAAUAUGAACAAAUUAAUUUCCUGGAUGAAUAAAAAGACAUGACGUAUUCUUA